rnacentral:rRNA from 1 species
AGAGUUUGAUCAUGGCUCAGGAUGAACGCUAGCUACAGGCUUAACACAUGCAAGUCGAGGGGCAGCAUGGUCUUAGCUUGCUAAGGCCGAUGGCGACCGGCGCACGGGUGAGUAACACGUAUCCAACCUGCCGUCUACUCUUGGACAGCCUUCUGAAAGGAAGAUUAAUACAAGAUGGCAUCAUGAGUCCGCAUGUUCACAUGAUUAAAGGUAUUCCGGUAGACGAUGGGGAUGCGUUCCAUUAGAUAGUAGGCGGGGUAACGGCCCACCUAGUCUUCGAUGGAUAGGGGUUCUGAGAGGAAGGUCCCCCACAUUGGAACUGAGACACGGUCCAAACUCCUACGGGAGGCAGCAGUGAGGAAUAUUGGUCAAUGGGCGAGAGCCUGAACCAGCCAAGUAGCGUGAAGGAUGACUGCCCUAUGGGUUGUAAACUUCUUUUAUAAAGGAAUAAAGUCGGGUAUGCAUACCCGUUUGCAUGUACUUUAUGAAUAAGGAUCGGCUAACUCCGUGCCAGCAGCCGCGGUAAUACGGAGGAUCCGAGCGUUAUCCGGAUUUAUUGGGUUUAAAGGGAGCGUAGAUGGAUGUUUAAGUCAGUUGUGAAAGUUUGCGGCUCAACCGUAAAAUUGCAGUUGAUACUGGAUAUCUUGAGUGCAGUUGAGGCAGGCGGAAUUCGUGGUGUAGCGGUGAAAUGCUUAGAUAUCACGAAGAACUCCGAUUGCGAAGGCAGCCUGCUAAGCUGCAACUGACAUUGAGGCUCGAAAGUGUGGGUAUCAAACAGGAUUAGAUACCCUGGUAGUCCACACGGUAAACGAUGAAUACUCGCUGUUUGCGAUAUACAGCAAGCGGCCAAGCGAAAGCGUUAAGUAUUCCACCUGGGGAGUACGCCGGCAACGGUGAAACUCAAAGGAAUUGACGGGGGCCCGCACAAGCGGAGGAACAUGUGGUUUAAUUCGAUGAUACGCGAGGAACCUUACCCGGGCUUAAAUUGCAGAUGAAUUACGGUGAAAGCCGUAAGCCGCAAGGCAUCUGUGAAGGUGCUGCAUGGUUGUCGUCAGCUCGUGCCGUGAGGUGUCGGCUUAAGUGCCAUAACGAGCGCAACCCUUGUUGUCAGUUACUAACAGGUCAUGCUGAGGACUCUGACAAGACUGCCAUCGUAAGAUGUGAGGAAGGUGGGGAUGACGUCAAAUCAGCACGGCCCUUACGUCCGGGGCUACACACGUGUUACAAUGGGGGGUACAGAGGGCCGCUACCACGCGAGUGGAUGCCAAUCCCAAAAACCUCUCUCAGUUCGGACUGGAGUCUGCAACCCGACUCCACGAAGCUGGAUUCGCUAGUAAUCGCGCAUCAGCCACGGCGCGGUGAAUACGUUCCCGGGCCUUGUACACACCGCCCGUCACACUAUGAGAGUCGGAAACACCCGAAGCCGGUGAGGUAACCGCAAGGAGCCAGCCGUCGAAGGUGGAGCUGAUGAUUGGAGUGAAGUCGUAACAAGGUA